GUUUUCUCAGUGUCUUCCCCAGUUGCAGCAAUAGCCUGGGCAAAGGUCCUGCUCAGGUUGUAGGCCUUAAAAGCUGUUAUGAAUCCUUGAUUCUUUGGUUAGAUCAAAAAGGUGGUGUUUGGAGGGAGAAACACUGCCUCGAUAUUGGGAUGAAGAUCAUAAACAAAAGGAGGAUGUCUGGGAGCAUUAUGAACAGCAAGCAAAAUAUUGAAAGUUGAAUCCACUCAUACAAGUUCUGCUUUACAAAGAUUUUCUGAUAAGGAGAAGUAGUCUACAUAGUUCCUGUGUGCAUGGUAUUUGCAGAAAGAAAUCAUGAGAAGGAUGGCAUUAAGUAAAAGAUUCAUGGAACAAGCCUAAGUUUUUGAGAUUAGACAUUUUGUUGUAUGACCUAUUUAUUAAAGAAAAAACUAAUUCUGAAGCACAAUUUGUCUCGGAAGUGCAAAACCACAAGUCAAAUGGAGUCAGCUGUGUCAAGGACCAAAUGGACAUGGUCAAUGCAGGUGCGUAAAGGAAACUUUAAUCUAACCUUACUGGAAUUUACAGCUCCUCCAAGAAAUCAGCAGAGGACACCAGCCAAUCUCCAAACGCCAUGUCUUCAUGCCAUCUCUGGACUUCCGUUUUUCCCCCGGCUCAGCUGUCUUGAUCCAAAUAGAGAAGAAGACCAUUAGGCAACCAAUCAGCUGAAAAAGCCAACUGACUUCCACACUUCCCCCGAGAAUCCCCUAGUCUGUGAGCAACUUGGUGCUCAUUGCUCCCACAGCCCUGAGUUUCCUGGCUUGCUGGUCAAAAGCCUUGCAAUAAACUCAUCUUUCUUCUUUGUUUCAUUCAGUCUGCAGAGUUUGGUUUUUUUGACAGAAGGAAACAAAAAAGAAGAAGAAAAAGAAGAGAUCCAGAAGUCUAAGUUUAUUUCUAAUUUGAAGAAGUAAUAAGAACUGUAAUAUUCUAAUGGAUAUUUGGGUAAGUUAUGCACUAGAAAAUAAUUUUUUUUUAAAGCUUAACUCUCAGAAAAUAAUACAUAUUCUUCUACAUGUAAAAACACUUUUCAGUUGAGAAAGGCUGCGGAAGCCGAAAAGUUAACACUCUAUUAGACUGCAGUGGUGAGGUUACAAAAGAAUUCUACGUAAGGAUUUCUUAAGUUAUGAGAAAGUGUGUGUGUUCCGAGGGAUGGAUAGAAAUGUGUUUGCAGAAUUUCAAGAGAAUAGUGAGAGCUAGGUGCUUUCCAACUUUUUAAACUACUCUUAGAACUCAAGAAGAG
rnacentral:lncRNA from 1 species